CCUGACCCAGCACGCCGCGUGAGGGGAAGAAGGCCUUCGGGUCGUAAAGCUCUGUUGUCAGUGAAGAACAGUACGAAAGUAACUGCUCGUACCUUGACGGUACUUAACGAGAAAGCCACGGCUAACUACGUGCCAGCAGCCGCGGAAAUA
rnacentral:rRNA from 1 species